rnacentral:rRNA from 1 species
ACGGGAUGAGUAAUGCGUGACCAACCUGCCCCAUGCUUCGGAAUAGCUCCUGGAAACGGGUGGUAAUGCCGGAUGCUCCGCANCAUCGCAUGAUGGUGUGGGAAAGGGUUUACCGGCAUGGGAUGGGGUCGCGUCCUAUCAGCUUGUUGGCGGGGUGAUGGCCUGCCAAGGCUUCGACGGGUAGCCGGCCUGAGAGGGCGACCGGCCACAUUGGGACUGAGAUACGGCCCANANCUCCUACGGGAGGCAGCAGUGGGGAAUAUUGCACAAUGGGCGCAAGCCUGAUGCAGCGACGCCGCGUGCGGGAUGACGGCCUUCGGGUUGUAAACCGCUUUUGAUUGGGAGCAAGCGAGAGUGAGUGUACCUUUCGAAUAAGCACCGGCUAACUACGUGCCAGCAGCCGCGGUAAUACGUAGGGUGCAAGCGUUAUCCGGAUUUAUUGGGCGUAAAGAGCUCGUAGGCGGUUCGUCGCGUCUGGUGUGAAAGUCCAUCGCUUAACGGUGGAUCGGCGCCGGGUACGGGCGGACUGGAGUGCGGUAGGGGAGACUGGAAUUCCCGGUGUAACGGUGGAAUGUGUAGAUAUCGGGAAGAACACCGAUGGCGAAGGCAGGUCUCUGGGCCGUCACUGACGCUGAGGAGCGAAAGCGUGGGGAGCGAACAGGAUUAGAUACCCUGGUAGUCCACGCCGUAAACGGUGGAUGCUGGAUGUGGGGCCCGUUCCACGGGUUCCGUGUCGGAGCUAACGCGUUAAGCAUCCCGCCUGGGGAGUACGGCCGCAAGGCU